GCUGCGGAGGGAUCAUUACCGAGUUUACAACUCCCAAACCCCUGUGAACAUACCUUAAUGUUGCCUCGGCGGAUCAGCCCGCGCCCCGUAAAACGGGACGGCCCGCCAGAGGACCCAAACUCUAAUGUUUCUUAUUGUAACUUCUGAGUAAAACAAACAAAUAAAUCAAAACUUUCAACAACGGAUCUCUUGGUUCUGGCAUCGAUGAAGAACGCAGCAAAAUGCGAUAAGUAAUGUGAAUUGCAGAAUUCAGUGAAUCAUCGAAUCUUUGAACGCACAUUGCGCCCGCUGGUAUUCCGGCGGGCAUGCCUGUUCGAGCGUCAUUUCAACCCUCAAGCCCCCGGGUUUGGUGUUGGGGAUCGGCUCUGCCCUUCUGGGCGGUGCCGCCCCCGAAAUACAUUGGCGGUCUCGCUGCAGCCUCCAUUGCGUAGUAGCUAACACCUCGCAACUGGAACGCGGCGCGGCCAUGCCGUAAAACCCCAACUUCUGAAUGUGACCU
rnacentral:rRNA from 1 species